AGCUCCUGCCGCCGCCGCAGCCGCUGCCGCCGCAGCGAAGAGGCCAUGUUGUGUGGUGUGUGGGGCGGGGGGAGGAGGAGGAGGGAGUAAAGCCUAGAGAGGAGACGGGAGAGAGACACCACACACACGGCACAAGAUGGCCGGAGAGGCAGCAGCACCCCGAGCUGUCAGGCGUUCCGCCGCGGCCGCGAGGCCCGCCGGCCGGCGGGGAGCUACGCCCGGACGGCCAGCAGGCCCGCGGGAGUGGGGCUGCCGCGGCUGAGGCGAGGCGGGCCGCGCGCGUCGGCGUCACAGCCCGCGGCAGAGGCGCCCAGGGCGGCCGGGCCCACGACGCCGAAAGCGCCGCUGCGGUUGCCGCCUCGGAGGCUCCCCCGGGCCCCGGCGGCUGGACCCGGCGCGGGCGGGAGGCUCGGGCGGGCGGUCCGGCCCGGGACUCGGGUUUGGGCGACCAGGAGGUGCCGGUGGCCGCGCUCGGACCCGGUGACUUAAGAGAUUAAAAUUAAUUUGGUUGCUGAUGGUUCUGAACAAAUAAUGAGUUCUUUUAUUUGAGGUAUGCCAUUUUGAAGACUGAGACAUUGGAGUUUUAUCCUAGAGGAUAAAGGAAAUCUUUGGCAAAGUCAGUAUUUUAUAUAGCAAAAAUAUGAACCUCAAACUGAAUCCUCUAAAGGCCCCAUACAAUGAAGUAGACAUUGGUGGAAGCAUUUACACCCAGUCAGCUUGAAGAGUUUCAAAUGGACCCUACCACUGAGAAAUCAAGAUGGCAGUCUACUAUGGGGAAUUGAGGAAAAUGGAUUAAUACAAGAGUCCUGUGAUAAUAUACAACCAAGACAGGGUUCUUUUAACAUGGAUUCCAUGCAGUGAAUGAAGACAUAGGUUUCUUACCCAACACAAAUGGACAGUGGAUUUGACUUUCUAAAGACUUUUUUUUGUGGACAUUUUGACAUUUGGAGAAGAAAGAUGGCACACUAACCCAGAUAAUAGUUUUUAUGCCUGGAAUUUUUUGCAGUUUGAUUUGUAUGCGUAUGACCUCUUGAAAUGUUAAUUUUUAAUAAAAUUUGUAACACUUAAAAAUUUCUCAGUUUGGGUUUUUUUUUUUUAAGUGGAAGUUUAAUUAAAAUGUUUAGUUUUAUUUUAGUAAUACUUUGGCCUUUGUAGUUGCCGAGUGGUAAAGUGUACUGAAUAUGAAUAAAGCUGGUAAACUGGAAAUGGUGUAAUCGAAAACAUUUUACUUGGUUUAUGAAGAUUUACGUUUUUCACAAAGUUGUGCUCUUAGAUGGUCAUUUGGUUUAAAUACUGUUUUGUUUGUGCUUUCAUGAAACACCUUUCAAAACAACUCAAUGGGUAAUAAUAGAAUCUGAUUUUAAUCUGCCACAAGAUUUUAAUGAACUUGAAACAAACUGCUUGUUGCUCCAAAAUUCAGGAUGAGUGAUACACAUAUACUUCUGAAUUAUUUUGUGUUGACUGAAAUGGUUUCUUAAGCUUUUUAAUACUAUAAAUACAUCUUGCUAUAGAAUAUUCAUCUGAAUAUUUAAAUUAAUGUCUCCUAUUGUCUUACUAUUAGAGGAAGAAGUGUUGGAUUUAUGGGUUAGGGUCCUUGGAGUAUUCACAAUUUUUUAAAUUUGAAAUUAUGUGUGUAAUCCAUUUUAUAUAACUUUGAAGUAGGAUUAAUAUCUUGUAUCGUCUUUAUUUUGUACAAUUGGGGAUUUAGAAUAAAUGAAUUGCACCCUGCCAUAGAUUACUUACGUUUGAUUUUUAAAUGCCAGGUUUUCAUUUAUUACUAAUCAACUGAUACCAGUUUUGGUAACUAUUACAAAGGUGGUAGGCAUUAUUUUGGUAGACAAAAUGAGUUCUUGAUUCUGUUUUCCCAUUUUACAUGAGAAGAAUAAAUAGUUCAGGUUAAAUUGUUUUGUGUUAAUCAUACUGUUUGUGAUUCAUGUCAAAUACUGCAGCAUACACAUCCAUGGUUAAUACACGAGCACCAUUUGUUACUGACUGAUGUGAGGUGGUUGGUCUUUGUUAAAUUCAAAAAUGGAAUUUUGGAUAUUGAUCUUGCUACGAAAUUUAUCUUUGUGUGUAGAGUAUGGAAUUGAAACAGUUUGGAUUAUGGAUUUUACCUAGAUUGGACAUUGUUGCUUUUGUUUGGUGUAAAUCUAAAGUGGAUUUCUUCAGUGAGGGAGGGACAUGGUUCUGGCAGAUGAUAUUGAAUAAGGAAAGUUGAUUGGAUUUUUUUGGGUGUGUGAAUAUGCUUGUCUGAAUGGAGUGCUUGGUAGGAUAUUGUUUCUGGAAUUAGUAAUUUGUUUCUGUGGAUCUCAUGGUUUUGAUAUUUAGGAGAAUUUGCUUUGUGACAUUACUUUGAUAAUUUCCAAUCACGUAUGUCCUAUUGUUAAUAACAUUGUUGAAAUGGGUGUAUACUUAUUUGAUUUGAAAUAUAAGGGAAGUGUUGGGAUAUGUGUUUUCUGUUGGAUUUGGACGUGGAGUUUCUUGGGUUACUGAUUUAAAGGUGAUCGUGUUUGGACCAUACUCUUGAAUUUUUGCCUGAAUCAGUAUGGGAAGUAAAUAUAUUGUGAUUAUGAGAAGUUUCUUUGGGGGGAGGAGUGUAAUAUUUUCAAGGUUAUAUAAUGGGUUAAAGAAUUUUGUGAAAGAACAAAGAAAAAUGGAUAUUCUUGAAUAAAAAUUGGUUGCAUU
rnacentral:lncRNA from 1 species